GAAACCGGAGCUAAUACCGGAUAAUAUAUUGAACCGCAUGGUUCAAUAGUGAAAGACGGUUUUGCUGUCACUUAUAGAUGGAUCCGCGCCGCAUUAGCUGGUUGGUAAGGUAACGGCUUACCAAGGCAACGAUGCGUAGCCGACCUGAGGGGGUGAUCGGCCACACUGGAACUGAGACACGGUCCAG
rnacentral:rRNA from 1 species